rnacentral:rRNA from 1 species
AAGUUAAAAUAAUUUAAAAAGACGAGAAGACCCUAUAGAGUUUUAUAUAUAACUUAAUUGAGAUUAUUUAAUAAUAUUAAGUUAAAAUUAAUUUAUAUAUUGUAUUGGGGUGAUAGAAAAAUAUAUAUAACUUUUUUUAUAUUUGUUUAAGCAUAAACAUAUAUAAGUGAUUAAAUGAUCCAAUAUUAUUGAUUAUAAGAAAAAAUUACCUUAGGGAUAACAGCGUAAUUUUUUUUUUUAGUUCGUAUAAGAAAAAGAGUUUGCGACCUCGAUGUUGGAUUAAGAUAAAAUUUAAAUGUAGAAG